GCGCGGGUUACUUUAAAAGUCGGCGAAUCGCGCUCUCUUGCCCGUCCUUGGCUUCUUCUCUCCACUCGCCUGACGCCGGAAUCCGGGAGGUCGCACCGAUCGCCGCUUCCAGCUGCUGGAGUCCUUCGCAGUCUAGCGAUCGAUCAUGAUUCUUUAGAUCUUGGAGAUAUUGUGCGGGACUGCCCAUCUACUCGGUGCACCACGAGACUGAGCUGUCUCUAUCAUGAAGCUGUAGUAGCUGGAGAUUGCUGAUACUGUGUGUCCAUGGCUCUUGAGCAUCUUCCUUCCUGCUGUGGUUCUUGAAUAAUUGAACUGGAAAGUAGGAUUUGCGGGUGGUCGGGUUUUCGAAUUGGAUUUCUGUGCAGGUGUAGUUUUUGACAUGACUGGUAAUACUGGGAGUCCGUGGUUGAUGAUGGUUAGAUGUUAGUCCUUGAUAGUUGGUGAUUUUUAGUUAAUGCUCUCAUGUUUGCUCUGCCAGUUCUGAUCUCUUGGAUGUUGAAAGA